UACGUAGGGUGCGAGCGUUAAUCGGAUUUACUGGGCGUAAAGCGUGCGCAGGCGGCCCGUUAAGACAGGUGUGAAAUCCCUGGGCUCAACCUAGGAAUUGCGCUUGUGACUGGCGGGCUCGAGUACGGUAGAGGGGGGUGGAAUUCCUGGUGUAGCAGUGAAAUGCGUAGAGAUCAGGAUGAACACCGAUGGCGAAGGCAGCCCCCUGGGCCUGUACUGACGCUCAUGCACGAAAGCGUGGGGAGCAAACAGG
rnacentral:rRNA from 1 species